rnacentral:lncRNA from 1 species
GGCAGUUUGAAAGGCCUCCAAAAAAGCAUGACAUUCAAUCAAAGUUCAGCAAGGAAAGUUUUAAUGAAUAAACUUAGUAAAUUAGAAAGCACUGCGGCAGAGUGAUUAACUCUCAUUUGGGCAUUAGUGUUGAAAUUAAUUAAAAUGUUUAAGCCAUAGGAGGCAGGCUACCUCGUCAGGACCUGGCUCUGCCCUCGGAGUCAGUCUGGAUCCAGGAGUGAUUCAUCUUACACAGAUGAGAGGGGGAUAAAAGGAAAAGAACAGUCAGGACAAAUGUGUUUUCAAUGGUGCUUAGCAGCAGGAGACCACUGGGACUUCAGAGCAACGCUACUGGAGUGUGACAUCAUAAUACGGAAAAACAGGUUGCAUCCUUGCAUUAAAGGAGAAUGGGAACCAGGCUAGAGCCAAAGAUCUUCCAGCCUUUCUCUGGAAUGGACCGAAUAUGGAAUAACAUGGACAUGUCUGAUGCACAUCUGGAGAUGGGACGGCAGCGCAUAAUACUUCCUGGAACUGCGAGACAAUGGGGUUGUCUUUUGACAUUGAGGCAGGUUAUUAAAUAGAAGUGUGAACUAUUAAGAGAUGAUCUUGACCCUCAAUACAUUUUUAUCAAAGUCAAAAAAUAUUUGACACCACUGAACAGCUUAUCACAGGCACAAAAGGGGAAAUGCUUUAUUAUGGAAAUGUGUACUAUGUUCUUCAAAACAGAAGAAUAAAAAUAUAUGCAUUUUUAAAUGAAUAACAGCUUGUAAGACUCCCAAUGAUUAACAGCAGUUGUACAUUAAGUAUUCUCUGAAAUGAUAUUUGUAAACUGGAGGGUUGACCAAUCUUAGUGCGAACUUCCU